rnacentral:pre_miRNA from 1 species
ACAGGGUGAGGUAGUAGGUUGUGUGGUUUCAGGGUUGUUAUUUUACCCCAUCGGGAGUUAACUAUACAACCUACUGCCUUUCCUGG